GCUUGUCUCAAAGAUUAAGCCAUGCAUGUCUAAGUAUAAACACUUUAUACCGUGAAACUGCAGAUGGCUCAUUAAAUCAGUUAUAAUUUAUUUGAUGAUCAACUUACUACAUGGAUAACCGUAGUAAUUCUAGAGCUAAUACAUGCGCCAAGUCCCAACUCUUGCGGGGAGGGAUGUAUUUAUUAGAUCCAAAACCAAUGCGGGGCAACCCGGUAUAUGGUGAUUCAUAAUAACUUUCGGAUCGAUCUUCGGAUCGAUGCAUCAUUCAAGUUUCUGCCCUAUCAGCUUUGGAUGGUAGGGUAUUGGCCUACCAUGGCUUUAACGGGUAACGGAGAAUUAGGGUUCGAUUCCGGAGAGGGAGCCUGAGAAAUGGCUACCACAUCCAAGGAAGGCAGCAGG
rnacentral:rRNA from 1 species